GAUGAACGCUGGCGGCGUGCUUAACACAUGCAAGUCGAACUGAAAGGCCCAAGCUUGCUUGUUUCCUCGAGUUGCGAACGAGUGAUUAACACGUGGGUGCUCUGCCCUGCACUUCGGGAUAAGCCUGGGACACUGGGUCUAAUACCGGAUAUGACGAUGGUUUGGAUUCCAUUGUGGAAAGUUUUUUCGGUGUGGGAUGAGCUCGCGGCCUAUCAGCUUGUUGGUGGGGUAAUGGCCUACCAAGGCGUCGACGGGUAGCCGGCCUGAGAGGGUGUACGGCCACAUCGGAAGUGGGAUACGGCCCAGGCUGCGACGAGAAGCAGAAGUGGCGAACAUUGCAAAAUGCAGGAAAGCCUGAAGCAGAGGCGCCAAGUGCUGAAUGAAGGUCAUCGGGUUGGAAACUACUUUCGCUAGGAACAAAGCGAUGUUGUGACGGUAAAGGGAGAAGAAGAACCGGAUAACUACGUG
rnacentral:rRNA from 1 species